AUUGAACGCUGGCGGCAUGCCUUACACAUGCAGGUCGAACGGUAACAGGUCUUCGGAUGCUGACGAGUGGCGAACGGGUGAGUAAUACAUCGGAACGUGCCCGAUCGUGGGGGAUAACGAAGCGAAAGCUUUGCUAAUACCGCAUAAGAUCCAAGGAUGAAAGCAGGGGACCGCAAGGCCUUGCGCGAACGGAGCGGCCGAUGGCAGAUUAGGUAGUUGGUGGGAUAAAAGCUUACCAAGCCGACGAUCUGUAGCUGGUCUGAGAGGACGACCAGCCACACUGGGACUGAGACACGGCCCAGACUCCUACGGGAGGCAGCAGUGGGGAAUUUUGGACAAUGGGCGAAAGCCUGAUCCAGCCAUGCCGCGUGCAGGAUGAAGGCCUUCGGGUUGUAAACUGCUUUUGUACGGAACGAAAAGACUCUGGUUAAUACCUGGGGUCCAUGACGGUACCGUAAGAAUAAGCACCGGCUAACUACGUGCCAGCAGCCGCCGUAACAC
rnacentral:rRNA from 1 species